ensembl:snoRNA
CCAGCCCCUGGGAGCAUUACUGGUGUGGCUGCUGUGUCACAUGUGCAUCAGUAGGUGACAGAGAGGAGAAAGGCUGUGUCUGUGCUCAAUGUUCUGACCUGUGAACGUCUGAAUGAUUAAUAGCCUAACAGU